GAGCCGAGAUCAUGCCAUUGCACUCCAGCCUGGGAGACAGAGCAAGACUCUGUCUCAGGAAAAAAAAAAAAUACUGAUUCCUGUGGGUGCUGUGCAGUCGGCACAGAGGAAGGGCCCAAUAAACGGUGGCCACUGUGGUCACUUCCUGCCUUUCUCCCGGUCUGUUUCUCCCUCUGGCUGAGGGACAGAAUAACUCUGCAUUCACUCGUGGGGAGACAGAACAGGGAGAGGGGGCAUGAGAUCAUGUCUGCCUGCCUGUGCCUCAGGAAGCAAGACAAGGGGACUGUGACUGUCGCGGCUGGAGGAUGUGGGCACCACCUGACCCUGGGGACACAGAUGGCUCAUGACUAGGGCUUUGUGUGUCCAGACCCAGCCACAUGCAGGCCCUGGCCAUUAGGUCCAGAGUCACGCGCCUGGCUGCCCCAUGAUGCAAUGAUGGUUUUCCUUCUCCGGACCAGGGGUAUUCACUGGCCAUGGGACCCAGAACAAGUCACCUAAAUCCUACUUUCUUCUUCCAUAAAAUCAUAUAGUAUCUACCUAAUAAAGUUGUUGUGGUAAAUAAAUGUGCAUAAA
rnacentral:lncRNA from 10 species